GUAGUUAGCCGGGGCUUCCUCCUUGGCUACCGUCAUUUCUUUCGUCACCAAGGACAGAGGUUUACAACCCGAAAGCCUUCUUCCCUCACGCGGCGUUGCUGGGUCAGGCUUGCGCCCAUUGCCCAAUAUUCCCCACUGCUGCCUCCCGUAGGAGUCUGGACCGUGUCUCAGUUCCAGUGUGGCCGAUCAGCCUCUCAGCUCGGCUACCCAUCGUCGACUUGGUGGGCCGUUACCCCGCCAACUAUCUAAUGGGACGCGAACCCCUCCUUUAGCGGAUUGCUCCUUUGACCGCUUCCCGAUGUCGGGGCGUGGUCUUAUGCGGUAUUAGCACUUGUUUCCAGGUGUUAUCCCCCUCUAAAGGGCAGGUUGUUCACGCGUUACUCACCCGUUCGCCACUAAGAUAAAACCGAAAUCUUAUCUCCGUUCGACUUGCAUGUGUUAGGCACGCCGCCAGCGUUCGUCCUGAGCCAUAAUCAAACUCUGA
rnacentral:rRNA from 1 species